AUGUACAUAUGGGCGGGGUCUCGAACGCCUACUCGCGCAUACGUACGGCCAGGGCUCGUGUACAUGGCUGGGUCAGGACGGAGAAACAGCGUCGUCGUUGUGUUCAUGGGGAGCCAACCGGCUGGGUUGGAACGGAAUGCAUCGUCGUGUUCAUCGAGACGGCUUGGACGGAACAGGCGAUGGAAAGGAGGCCUGGUGUACCGCAGAAUGGAGGAAACUGCCUUGUGUUCGACUGGCCACGUUCAGAACGGGAUCCUGUUCAUCGGGAGGGGUCUGGCGUACCGCAAAACAGAGGAAACGGACUUGUGUUGGACCUUCUACGGCCGAAACGGGGUCCUGUUGAUCGAGAGGGGUGUGGCGUACCGCAAAACGUACGAAACGGACUUGUGUUGGAGCGCUACGGUCGAAACGGGGGUCAUGAUCAUCGGGAGGGGUGUGGCGUACCGCAAAACGGGACUCCAUGGGAUACUGUUCAUCUCCACCGGCGACCUCCACCAGCCUCCACGGGAUACUUUCAUCCACCGUAGACCUCCUCCAGCCUCCACCUGCGACUGUUCAUCCACGGGCUCCUGUUCAUCCAGCCUCCACCGCGCGCUACUCCACCGGCUACUGUUCAACCACCCCUCUCCACGGGCACAUGUUCAACCACCCCUCCACAGGCUACUGUUCAUCCACCCCUCCACCGUCUACUAUUCAUCCAGCCCUCCACGGGGUCGUCCUGUUCAUCCCGCUCUGCACGGGGUCCUGUUCAUCCAGCCCCAACCGGCUCGAUCGAUCGGGGUCCUGUUCAUCUAG
rnacentral:rRNA from 1 species